CCCUUUCGGGGGAAAGAUUUAUCGCCGAAAGAUUAGCCCGCGUCCGAUUAGCUAGUUGGUGGGGUAACGGCCUACCAAGGCGACGAUCGGUAGCUGGUCUGAGAGGAUGAUCAGCCACACUGGGACUGAGACACGGCCCAGACUCUUACGGGAGGCAGCAGUGGGGAAUAUUGGACAAUGGGCGCAAGCCUGAUCCAGCCAUGCCGCGUGAGUGAUGAAGGCCUUAGGGUUGUAAAGCUCUUUCGCUCGCGACGAUGAUGACGGUAGCGAGAGAAGAAGCCCCGGCUAACUUCGUGCCAGCAGCCGCGGUAAUACGAAGGGGGCAAGCGUUGUUCGGAAUUACUGGGCGUAAAGCGCACGCAGGCGGUCCUCCAAGUCAGAAGUGAAAGCCCUGGGCUCAACCCGGGAACUGCUUUUGAUACUGGGGAACUGGAAUCACGGAGAGGGUAGGGGAAUUCCGAGUGUAGAGGUGAAAUUCGUAGAUAUUCGGAAGAACACCAGUGGCGAAGGCGCCUACCUGGCCGUCGAUUGACGCUCAUGUGCGAAAGCGUGGGGAGCAAACAGGAUUAGAUACCCUGGUAGUCCACGCCGUAAACGAUGAGUGCUAGAUGUUGGGGUGCAUGCACUUCAGUGUCGAAGCUAAC
rnacentral:rRNA from 1 species